CCUACGGGAGGCAGCAGUGGGGAAUAUUGCACAAUGGGGGGAACCCUGAUGCAGCGACGCCGCGUGGGUGAGGAAGUACUUCGGUAUGUAAAGCCCUAUCAGCAGGGAAGAAAAUGACGGUACCUGACUAAGAAGCCCCGGCUAACUACGUGCCAGCAGCCGCCGGAAUACGUAGGGGGCAAGCGUGAUCCGGAUUUACUGGGUGUAAAGGGAGCGGAGACGGCGUGGCAAGUCUGAUGUGGAAGGCCGGGGCUAAAACCCGGGACUGCAUUGGAUACUGGCAUGCUAGAGUGAUAGAGGGGCAAGCGGAAUUCCAUGUGUAGCGGUGAAAUGCGUAGAUAUUAGGAGGAACACCAGUGGCGAAGGCGGCUUGCUGGACGGUAACUGACGUUGAGGCACGAAAGCGUGGGGAGCAAACAGGAUUAGAUACCCCGGUAGUC
rnacentral:rRNA from 1 species